GACGAACCGUGCGAACGUUGUUCGGAAUCACUGGGCUUAAAGGGCGCGUAGGCGGGCUGCCAAGUCAGUGGUGAAAUCUUUCAGCUCAACUGGAAAAGUGCCGCUGAUACUGGCAGUCUCGAGGGAGGUAGGGGUCGAUGGAACUAAUGGUGGAGCGGUGAAAUGCGUAGAUAUCAUUAGGAACGCCGGUGGCGAAAGCGAUCGACUGGACCUCUUCUGACGCUGAGGCGCGAAAGCCAGGGGAGCAAACGGG
rnacentral:rRNA from 1 species